rnacentral:rRNA from 1 species
CCUACGGGAGGCAGCAGUGGGGGAUAUUGCACAAUGGGGGGAACCCUGAUGCAGCGACGCCGCGUGGGUGAAGAAGCGCCUCGGCGCGUAAAGCCCUGUCAGCAGGGAAGCAAAUGACGGUACUUGAAGAAGAAGCCCCGGCUAAAUACGUGCCAGCAGCCGCGGGAAUACGUAGGGGGCCAGCGUUAUCCGGAUUUACUGGGUGUAAAGGGGGCGCAGACGGCGAUGCAAGCCAGGAGUGAAAGCCCGGGGCCGAACCCCGGGACUGCUCUUGGAACUGCGUGGCUGGAGUGCAGGAGGGGCAGGCGGAAUGCCUGGUGUAGCGGUGAAAUGCGUAGAUAUCAGGAGGAACACCGGUGGCGAAGGCGGCCUGCUGGACUGCAACUGACGUUGAGGCCCGAAAGCGUGGGGAGCAAACAGGAUUAGAUACCCGUGUAGUC